rnacentral:rRNA from 1 species
AUUGAACGCUGGCGGCAGGCCUAACACAUGCAAGUCGAACGAGUGGCGGACGGGUGAGUAAUGUCUGGGAAACUGCCCGAUGGAGGGGGAUAACUACUGGAAACGGUAGCUAAUACCGCAAACCAUCGGAUGUGCCCAGAGGGGAUUAGCUAGUAGGGGGGGUAACGGCUCACCUGGGGGACGAUCCCUAGCUGGUCUGAGAGGAUGACCAGCCACACUGGGACUGAGACACGGUCCAGACGCCUACGGGAGGCAGCAGUGGGGAAUAGUGCUCAAUGGGCGAAAGCCUGAUGCAGCAAUGCCGCGUGUAUGAAGAAGGCCUUCGGGUUGUAAAGUACUUUCAGCGAGGAGGCGUUACUCGCAGAAGAAGCACCGGCUAACUCCGUGCCAGCAGCCGCGGUAAUAC